rnacentral:lncRNA from 1 species
GUGGAUACCUGAGUCCAGCACACCAGGAGGUUGACAAGAGCAUGGAGCAGCCAAGAACUGCCAAAGAAAAGCCAGUGUCUGGGAACUGCUAAAGCAGCCACUGAUGCUUGAACAGCACCUUCUACUUUACAAAGAAUUCUCACAGGUCAGAGUUUCUGGGAUAUAGUAGGUAAUACUUUCAAGACGUCGUCCUCUUCUGUGAAAAGUGGUCCUUCCAAUGGGAAGAAGGAAAGCAGGCUACACUGUCUAUAGUUCGUGGGCACUGGUCCUUUGUUAUCUCCAUGAUACAUAAAAAUAUUAUUAGUGUGAA